rnacentral:rRNA from 1 species
GAUGAACGCUGGCGGCGUGCCUAAUACAUGCAAGUCGAGCGGACGGACGAGAAGCUUGCUUCUCUGAUGUUAGCGGCGGACGGGUGAGUAAUACGUGGAUAACCUACCUAUAAGACUGGGGUAACUUCGGGAAACCGGAGCUAAUACCGGAUAAUAUUUUGAACCGCAUGGUUCAAAAGUGAAAGACGGUCUUGCUGACACUUAUAGAUGGUUCCGCGCUGCAUUAGCUAGUUGGUAAGGUAACGGCUUACCAAGGCAACGAUGCAUAGCCGACCUGAGAGGGUGAUCGGCCACACUGGAACUGAGACACGGUCCAGACUCCUACGGGAGGCAGCAGUAGGGAAUCUUCCGCAAUGGGCGAAAGCCUGACGGAGCAACGCCGCGUGAGUGAUGAAGGUCUUCGGAUCGUAAAACUCUGUUAGUAGGGAAGAACAUCUGUGUAAGUAACUGUGCACAUCUUGACGGUACCUAAUCAGAAAGCCACGGCUAACUACGUG